GGGUUGUGAGGUUAAGCGACUAAGCGUACACGGUGGAUGCCCUGGCAGUCAGAGGCGAUGAAGGGCGUGCUAAUCUGCGAUAAGCGCCGGUAAGGUGAUAUGAACCGUUAUAACCGGCGAUACCCGAAUGGGGAAACCCAGUGUGACUCGUCACACUAUCAUUAACUGAAUCCAUAGGUUAAUGAGGCGAACCGGGGGAACUGAAACAUCUAAGUACCCCGAGGAAAAGAAAUCAACCGAGAUUCCCCCAGUAGCGGCGAGCGAACGGGGAGGAGCCCAGAGCCUGAAUCAGCAUGUGUGUUAGUGGAAGCGUCUGGAAAGGCGCGCGAUACAGGGUGACAGCCCCGUACACAAAAGCGCAUGUGCUGUGAGCUCGAUGAGUAGGGCGGGACACGUGGUAUCCUGUCUGAAUAUGGGGGGACCAUCCUCCAAGGCUAAAUACUCCUGACUGACCGAUAGUGAACCAGUACCGUGAGGGAAAGGCGAAAAGAACCCCGGCGAGGGGAGUGAAAAAGAACCUGAAACCGUGUACGUACAAGCAGUGGGAGCCCCACCACCAAAGCAUUUGCUGUACCGCGUUGACGGAGCGAAGCGACGUCAAACCGAUAAAACAGCAGUGUAAAGUGAGCCGCAGGGCGCUUUGCGCGACAGCGCAAAGGCAGGCGGUUUCGCGUAGCGAAAGCGAAUGCUUUGGGGUGGGGUGACUGCGUACCUUUUGUAUAAUGGGUCAGCGACUUAUAUUCUGUAGCAAGGUUAACCGAAUAGGGGAGCCGGAGGGAAACCGAGUCUUAAUUGGGCGUUAAGUUGCAGGGUAUAGACCCGAAACCCGGUGAUCUAGCCAUGGGCAGGUUGAAGGUUGGGUAACACUAACUGGAGGACCGAACCGACUAAUGUUGAAAAAUUAGCGGAUGACCUGUGGCUGGGGGUGAAAGGCCAAUCAAACCGGGAGAUAGCUGGUUCUCCCCGAAAGCUAUUUAGGUAGCGCCUCGUGAAUUCAUCUCCGGGGGUAGAGCACUGUUUCGGCUAGGGGGCCAUCCCGGCUUACCAACCCGAUGCAAACUGCGAAUACCGGAGAAUGUUAUCACGGGAGACACACGGCGGGUGCUAACGUCCGUCGUGAAGAGGGAAACAACCCAGACCGCCAGCUAAGGUCCCAAAGUCAUGGUUAAGUGGGAAACGAUG
rnacentral:rRNA from 1 species